AAAGCUAGACUUGUUAUCAGAGGUGAUACUCAGGUUGAAGGUAUUGAUUUCACUGACACCUUUUCUCCUGUGGUUAAAAUGUGCACUGUUAAGUAUCUUAUUGAUGUGGCUGUCAAAAAUCAUUGGAAUUAUUUCAACUGGAUGUUAAUAAUGCUUUCUUACAUGGUGAUUUGGAUGAGGAGGUUAAUAUGAAGCUCCCUCCAGGUUUGACAGUUUCUGCUCUUGCUUCUGUUUCUGCCUCCUCUACAUCUGCUCCCCUUGUUUGCAAAUUGAAUAAAUCCUUGUAUGGGCUGAGACAGGCAUCCAGACAAUGGUAUGCCAAAUUGUCUUCUGCCCUCUAUUCCAGAGGUUAUAGACACUCUUUGAAUGAUUAUUCCUUAUUCAUCAAAGGUACACCAGGGUCCCUUGUGAUUGUAGCAGUCUAUGUGGAUGAUAUCAUUCUUACUGGGGAUGAUAGUGAUGAAAUUUGUGCCCUGAAACUGUUUCUGGAUGAUCAGUUUAAAAUUAAGGACCUAGGGUCUUUGCAUUAUUUUUUAGGCAUAGAGAUGUCAGUUGUUCCUGGUGGGAUGAUCCUUAUUCAGCAGAAAUAUAUCUCUGACCUGCUGCAUCAGUUUGACUGUGCCAGUGUCUCUUUUGUUGUUUGUCCUUUGGACAUUAAUGCCAAACUUCAUGUUGAUUCUGGUGACCUUUUAUCUUGUCCUGAUCAGUAUAGGAGUCUUGUUGGUAAGCUCUUAUUUCUGACUCAUACUAGGCCUGACAUCUGUUUUGCUGUACAACAUCUGAGUCAAUUUUUGAAAUGUCCCAGACUUCCACAUAUGACUGCUGCCCUCCAUGUGUUAAGAUACCUUAAAGGUACCUCCUCUUUGGGUCUCUUUUAUUCUAACAGCAAUGAUUUCUCUGUUGUUGGUUAUUCACAACAUCUGAGUCAAUUUCUGAAAUGUCCCAGACUUCCACAUAUGACUGUUGCCCUCCAUGUGUUAAGAUACCUUAAAGGUACCUCCUCUUUGGGUCUCUUUUAUUCUGACUGCAAUGAUUUCUCUGUUGUUGGUUAUUCUGAUAGUGACUGGG
rnacentral:lncRNA from 1 species